rnacentral:tRNA from 1 species
GUUUACAUGGCUCAGUUGGUAGAGCAUGGCAAUUGCAAUGCCAGAGUUGUGGGUUUGAUUCCCACGUGGGACCA